GAAAUAUUUAUUUCCCUUAUUUGUUUCCCCCUCCUCUACUAUAUAAAGAGACUCCUUUUAUUCAUUCACACACUCAUUCACUCUCAAUCACAAAACUCUCUCAUCAUUCUCCCUUCUCUCAUUUGCUCUCUUGCUACUUAACAAAACAUUAAUAUUCCGGUUUCAUAUUUGAAGUUCAAGUUGAAGAUUAACUGAAGAAGGAUUUAUUUAUUUGUUUGAAUGUAUAUAUAUAUCUAUAUAUUUUUUUUUUUUUCGCUAUUUUAUUUAUUCGAAUGUUGUAACAAUUGUAACCCUAAAGAUCAUAUAAUAAAUUUAUUUGGGGGUCGUCUAGGGGAGGGGGAUUUAUAUGCUUAUUUGUUCGUUAUAUUUUUUAGAAAUCAUGCCUAUAGGUUUGUCUUUAACCACCUAGAUUUAAUGUUUAUAGGUGUUAUAAUCUAAUCAAUUUUCAAUUUGCUUGACACUUUUGUUAAUAAAGUCUAAAAAUAAUAAACUAGAUUCCGUUAAUGUUAAAAGCAAAUCAUAGUAAUUUAAUAGGCCGAUUAGGUGUUUUUAAUAAUGUUAUAAUUUUAGCAUCAUCUUGUCAUGCAGAAACCAUGUCUAAGGUUUAAUUUGUUCAUAACAUUUAAAUUUACAAAAUUAGGCAUAUUUAUUUUUUUGAACACCUAGAAAUCAUGUCUAUAGGCUUGUAAAUAAACUCUUAACAUAUCCACAAAAAAUAGAACUUGUUUGUGCAUAUUUGUGCCCUCCCCCCAAAAUUAGUUAAUAUUAUUUCAUGAGUAAUCCCAUUCGUUUUCUUGAAGAUUUCCGCAUUCCUUGCAAUAUGUUAUUUUCUUAAAAUAAUACUAAAUUAGAAUCAUUUCAUGCAUUUAACUUGACUUUAAAAAUAUUUCAUAUCAAAACCUUGUAAUUUUCUUAAAAAGUCAUUAUUCAAUCUUCCUUUAAAAAUUUGGAUUGAUUUUGACAUUGUUUAUUUCGAAAAUAAAUUAUAAGCACUAUCUCCUAACCUAUCGUUAGUGGGAAAGUCAAAGGAACUACGAGGUCUAGUUCCAAUUUUUAAACCCGA